AUCAAAACGCCUUUGCAAGGAUAAUAAAACUACCGCUGGCUAAUGAUGUUCCUUCCCGUCCUAGAGUUAGGUCUCCCACUUAUUGGUUACCUGCAUCACAAAUGAGUCAUGAGUAACUAGUUUACUCAGUGAGCCUAGUCCCGUACCCCAACAUAUAUUAAUAAUAUCUCAAGCAAUCACUCCAUUUGUAUGCAGUGGAAAUAUAUUCCAUAACUAAUAAAAAUACAUAUAUAAGGCCUAUCAAUCCAUCGAUGUGAAUCUUAUCUUAAACAUCAUCUCCAAG
rnacentral:lncRNA from 1 species